GGAAGAACGUCGUUUCCGGUGAAACGUCUGGAUUUCAAAUCCAGGUGGGGCUGCCAGCAGUCCCGGGUAGGUUCAACUCCUAUGUUCUUCC
rnacentral:tRNA from 17 species